CUACGGGUGGCUGCAGUGAGGAAUAUUGCACAAUGAGGGGAACCCUGAUGCAGCAACGCCGCGUGGAGGAUGACGCAUUUCGGUGUGUAAACUCCUUUUAUAUGUCAAGAAAAUGACGGUAGCAUAUGAAUAAGCACCGGCUAACUCCGUGCCAGCAGCCGCGGUAAUACGGAGGGUGCAAGCGUUACUCGGAAUCACUGGGCGUAAAGGACGCGUAGGCGGGUUGGAAAGUCAGGUGUGAAAUCCUACAGCUUAACUGUAGAACUGCACUUGAAACUUCUAAUCUAGAGUAUGGGAGGGGGAGAUGGAAUUAGUGGUGUAGGGGUAAAAUCCGUAGAUAUCACUAGGAAUACCUAAAGCGAAGGCGAUCUCCUGGAACAUUACUGACGCUAAGGCGUGAAGGCGUGGGGAGCAAACAGGAUUAGAUGCCCCGGUAGUC
rnacentral:rRNA from 1 species